rnacentral:rRNA from 1 species
GAUGAACGCUGGCGGCGUGCCUAAUACAUGCAAGUCGAGCGAACGGACGAGAAGCUUGCUUCUCUGAUGUUAGCGGCGGACGGGUGAGUAACACGUGGAUAACCUACCUAUAAGACUGGGAUAACUUCGGGAAACCGGAGCUAAUACCGGAUAAUAUUUUGAACCGCAUGGUUCAAAAGUGAAAGACGGUCUUGCUGUCACUUAUAGAUGGAUCCGCGCUGCAUUAGCUAGUUGGUAAGGUAACGGCUUACCAAGGCAACGAUGCAUAGCCGACCUGAGAGGGUGACCGGCCACACUGGAACUGAGACACGGUCCAGACUCCUACGGAAGGCAGCAGUAGGGAAUCUUCCGCAAUGGGCGAAAGCCUGACGGAGCAACGCCGCGUGAGUGAUGAAGGUCUUCGGAUCGUAAAACUCUGUUAUUAGGGAAGAACAUAUGUGUAAGUAACUGUGCACAUCUUGACGGUACCUAAUCAGAAAGCCACGGCUAACUACGUGCCAGCAGCCGCGGUAAUACGUAGGUGGCAAGCGUUAUCCGGAAUUAUUGGGCGUAAAGCGCGCGUAGGCGGUUUUUUAAGUCUGAUGUGAAAGCCCACGGCUCAACCGUGGAGGGUCAUUGGAAACUGGAAAACUUGAGUGCAGAAGAGGAAAGUGGAAUUCCAUGUGUAGCGGUGAAAUGCGCAGAGAUAUGGAGGAACACCAGUGGCGAAGGCGACUUUCUGGUCUGUAACUGACGCUGAUGUGCGAAAGCGUGGGGAUCAAACAGGAUUAGAUACCCUGGUAGUCCACGCCGUAAACGAUGAGUGCUAAGUGUUAGGGGGUUUCCGCCCCUUAGUGCUGCAGCUAACGCAUUAAGCACUCCGCCUGGGGAGUACGACCGCAAGGUUGAAACUCAAAGGAAUUGACGGGGACCCGCACAAGCGGUGGAGCAUGUGGUUUAAUUCGAAGCAACGCGAAGAACCUUACCAAAUCUUGACAUCCUUUGACAACUCUAGAGAUAGAGCCUUCCCCUUCGGGGGACAAAGUGACAGGUGGUGCAUGGUUGUCGUCAGCUCGUGUCGUGAGAUGUUGGGUUAAGUCCCGCAACGAGCGCAACCCUUAAGCUUAGUUGCCAUCAUUAAGUUGGGCACUCUAAGUUGACUGCCGGUGACAAACCGGAGGAAGGUGGGGAUGACGUCAAAUCAUCAUGCCCCUUAUGAUUUGGGCUACACACGUGCUACAAUGGACAAUACAAAGGGCAGCGAAACCGCGAGGUCAAGCAAAUCCCAUAAAGUUGUUCUCAGUUCGGAUUGUAGUCUGCAACUCGACUACAUGAAGCUGGAAUCGCUAGUAAUCGUAGAUCAGCAUGCUACGGUGAAUACGUUCCCGGGUCU